rnacentral:rRNA from 1 species
UCCACGCCGUAAACGAUGGUCACUCGUUGCUGGUGAUAUACAAUCAGUGACUGAGCGAAAGCAUUAAGUGACCCACCUGGGGAGUACGUUCGCAAGAAUGAAACUCAAAGGAAUUGACGGGGGCCCGCACAAGCGGAGGAACAUGUGGUUUAAUUCGAUGAUACGCGAGGAACCUUACCUGGGCUUAAAUGGGAGGCGUCUUCGGGCGUAGUUCUUCGAAAGAAGACUUAAACUUUCAAGGUGCUGCAUGGUUGUCGUCAGCUCGUGCCGUGAGGUGUCGGGUUAAGUCCCAUAACGAGCGCAACCCCUAUCCUUAGUUGCCAACAGGUCAAGCUGGGAACUCUAGGGAAACUGCCAUCGUAAGAUGUGAGGA